AAUUUUCCUAAGUACUGCUUUCAGUGUAUCAGUCAAAUUUUGACAAAGUGUAUUGUCAAUUUCAUUUAGUUCCAAAUAUUUUUAUGAUUGAUCAUUUCAUUUAUGUACAAUAAAACUGGCUACUCAGAACUCUUUGAUGUUGAAGUGAUUUCUACAGACGCUAUUGAGUGCUUUCUAGUUUUUGUCCCUAUGUUAUGCUACUGCUGGUCCUUAUGAAUCUGUCUACACUUUUGACAAUUUUUUUUGCCUCCUUGCAUUUAGACUGUCACUACUCACUUUUCAGUAUUGUCAGUACCUGAGCCUCUUUUUAACUAAUUAUGAACUUUUUUUAGCCAGUUAAGCAAGCCUACUAAAAUUAAGGGAAGUUACCUCUCCUAAAAUU